CCUCAGAAGUCUCAGGAAGAUCCCAUACAUGUCCAUAUAUACCUGAGGAUGCUCAGUGGUGCCCAGUGCUUGGCUCUGAGGCACUGGGAGCAAGCUGGAACACAGAGGUUCCUUCUGACCAUCAGGAAGCCCUUCUGUGCUGUGCAGGUGAAGGAACAUCUAUGAUUACCAACAAUGGUCAGCCCCAGACACUGAUGGGAAGGACCACCCAGAGGGAUCUCAGGCUUCCAGGACUUUGCUUAUUGAUGAGAAAGCAGCAGCUGUGUUCAGUAUCCGUGGCUGCCACAGGUGGUCUCAGUAGUGCUGACAUCUCAGAGGGACUCUUCUCUACGUGACCUCCUGAGUCACCAUUUGUUCCUUCUCCUUGUUCACAGCCUCUGCCACUGUCACUGAGGUUCAUCACGCAAGGAUUGAUUUUUCUUGCCCAGGCUUUAGCCAAAUCCUUGCUGCUUUUGUUAUUCACUACACCUGGAGAGGGGAAAGCCCCAUCUCCACCUGACCUCCCCACGCUCAGCUAGCUCAGCCUGCUGCUUGCUUCCCCAUGAGUCUUUCCACCUCUGGGAAACUGCCUACUAUUUGACAGUGGCUUCUGUGAGUUUAAUGACAAGAAAAACAGAAUAAAAACCCAACAUCUUUUAAAAUCCCUUUUUUA
rnacentral:lncRNA from 1 species